rnacentral:sRNA from 1 species
CAGCGGACAUAAACAUCAAACUUAAAUAGCAUUCCCCCAGCGAUCUGAUUUGUGUCCGGCGAGGGAACUGGAAACACACUACACAUGUCACCAGUUCAUCUGACCAGCCAAUCCUGCACUUGACUUAUCUGGAUCUGGAUAUUUUUAAAACAGAGUCCGAACGUCGUGCCACAGUGCGACCCCUCCUUGGGUAAAAGUUUUCACAUGUCAAAGUACCUCACAAAUGUCACCAAUCUAAGGGACACAACGACCACUGAAAAUAGUUUUUUGAUGUUCUCUUCGUGAUUGAAAAAAUUUUAUGGCAGAAAUCAAAUCCUGGUGGUAUUGGUCUGAGAGCACAUGAAUGAAAAACUAGAAAACCCUCUUAACUGCAUACCAACAAAGCUAGCGGCAAAAAUGCCGCCUCAAUAACAGUUGGUCGUCAGAGAUCAACGACAGUUAAGGAGUCCCAUGAAUGAUGUUGUUGCUUUAGAUUUUUAUGUGAAGGUAGCUAUCCUCGUCAAGCUCCAUAUGUUAGCAACCUUGUUCCGGUUCGAUCGCCGUGGAAACGUUAUGGUUAUUGGAUAUUUAAAAGCGCCAAAUACUCGCCCUUUCAUAUCGAGUAUCACAGAGACUCCACUUGAUACCGCUGAUUG